UACGGAGGGAGCUAGCGUUGUUCGGAUAUACUGGGCGUAAAGCGCACGUAGGCGGCGCAGCAAGUCAGGGGUGAAAUCCCGGAGCUCAACUCCGGAACUGCCUUUGAAACUGCAGUGCUAGAAUCCUGGAGAGGCGAGUGGAAUUCCGAGUGUAGAGGUGAAAUUCGUAGAUAUUCGGAAGAACACCAGUGGCGAAGGCGACUCGCUGGACAGGUAUUGACGCUGAGGCGCGAAAGCGUGGGGAGCAAACAGG
rnacentral:rRNA from 1 species